rnacentral:rRNA from 1 species
AUUGAACGCUGGCGGCAUGCCUUACACAUGCAAGUCGAACGGCAGCACUGGAGCAAUCCUGGCGGCGAGUGGCGAACGGGUGAGUAAUAUAUCGGAACGUGCCCAGUCGUGGGGGAUAACGCAGCGAAAGCUGUGCUAAUACCGCAUACGAUCUAUGGAUGAAAGCGGGGGAUCGCAAGACCUCGCGCGAUUGGAGCGGCCGAUAUCAGAUUAGCUAGUUGGUGAGGUAAAGGCUCACCAAGGCGACGAUCUGUAGCUGGUCUGAGAGGACGACCAGCCACACUGGAACUGAGACACGGUCCAGACUCCUACGGGAGGCAGCAGUGGGGAAUUUUGGACAAUGGGCGAAAGCCUGAUCCAGCAAUGCCGCGUGCAGGAUGAAGGCCUUCGGGUUGUAAACUGCUUUUGUACGGAACGAAACGGUGAGCUCUAAUACAGUUUGCUAAUGACGGUACCGUAAGAAUAAGCACCGGCUAACUACGUGCCAGCCGCCGCAGUAA